rnacentral:SRP_RNA from 1 species
GGCUGGGAGCUAUGUGACUUGUAGUCGACUAACUCCACCAGGACCGGAAGGUAGCAAUGGUCGUCAGGCUUAUGGUGUACUGUAGAUUUCCUGGCCUUU